UACGAAGGGGGCUAGCGUUGUUCGGAAUUACUGGGCGUAAAGCGCACGUAGGCGGAUUGGUCAGUUGGGGGUGAAAUCCCAGGGCUCAACCCUGGAACUGCCUUCAAUACUGCCAGUCUAGAGAUCGAGAGAGGUGAGUGGAAUUCCGAGUGUAGAGGUGAAAUUCGCAGAUAUUCGGAGGAACACCAGUGGCGAAGGCGGCUCACUGGCUCGAUACUGACGCUGAGGUGCGAAAGCGUGGGGAGCAAACAGG
rnacentral:rRNA from 1 species